rnacentral:rRNA from 1 species
UACGGAGGGUGCAAGCGUUAUCCGGAUUUACUGGGUUUAAAGGGUGUGUAGGCGGGCUUUUAAGUCAGUGGUGAAAUCUCCGGGCUCAACCCGGAAACUGCCAUUGAUACUAUUAGUCUUGAAUAUUGUUGAGGUAGGCGGAAUAAGUCAUGUAGCGGUGAAAUGCAUAGAUAUGACUUAGAACACCAAUUGCGAAGGCAGCUUACUAAGCAAUGAUUGACGCUGAGGCACGAAAGCGUGGGGAUCAAACAGG